AUAGCGAUAUUUGAUAGUCUUUUGACAAAAUACAUUCUAAAUUGUUAUGUUUUACGUUUAAUAGGUGAAACUCUACGAAUAAAAAGGAAUGGAAGGAAAGAAGCAAAAAGAGCGGAAAUAGCAAAAUCCAAAGUAUGUGGAUUAAAUUGGCCAUUGGAUGCAAUUUUUGGGAAUCAAAGUAACUAUAAAAAUGGAAGGACUGAUUUGCUUCGCUUUGAAGAUUGAGUACUUGGAGAGAAAUAAUUGAUCAAUGGGCCUCAAUUGGACAUGCCUUGGAAUUCAACUUUAAUACUUCAUUGGACUUCCAAUUGGGUUACAACUAAAAGGGCUGCAUGGGGCUGAAUUUGGGUUUCUUUUUGGUCAAGUUGGUUGGUUAAUUUCAAGUAUAUAUACAUGCACUUACCGAAAGAACUGGGAGAAAGAAAACCUAGAGAAGAGAGACGGCUGGAAGGGAGGAAAAAGAGAAAAAAAA
rnacentral:lncRNA from 1 species